CAUGGUCUCAAGUACCGAUCACCUGAAAUAUCACCAUUAUAAGCGGCUAAAUACAAGACUGGUCGUCAUAGACCUUUACUUCCUAGAUCUCCAAAUCAUAAUUUAGCUUUGCAAAAUGUUUUUAAUAUAAGUGCGUAAGGAAAGGAAAAAUAAGUAGAAUUUUGCUAGAGUUGGAAACCCAGUGUUAUGUAAACAAUUGUAGAUUAUAGAUCUAUAAUGUGGUGCAAACUACUUAUAUUUAAAAGUUAACAACAAUGUGUACCCAAAAAAAAAAGUUACCAACAAUGCUAACUUAUUCUCGUAAAUGCUUAAACUUUAAACCUAAAAACUCUGACUGAAAAGUAUUUUCCAAGCACUUAAUGUUGGGGAAACUAGUACAAAAAUGCAGACUAAAGAAUGCAAACUAGGACAAUAAGAAUGCUAAUGCAGACUAAUGACUGCUUGCUGCAGAAAGAAUGAAAGAUAACUCAAGUUUGCCCCAUUUAAAGGGAUCGUAAACAAAAUGAUUAACACUGGUUGCUAAGCUUCUUGCCAUCACUAACUUUCUUCAGACGACAAAUGAUUUUAGCAGCAAAAAAAAGCUAGUGAUUUUUAUUUGGUCGGAUUGGGACAAGUACAGAUGAUAAGAAUCACUGAAAAAAUAUAACAUCCAUUUUUCGUGAAAUUUUGCUCACACAACUUCAUAAUCAAUCUUUCAUGUCUAACUUUAGAAUCAUAGUCAAUAAAAUCUUAGUAUUGAGGAAUUGCCAAUAUCUAUAUUUUCCCAGUCAUUAUGGAUUAAGUUUACUGAUACAUGCCACGUUCAUAUAUUUCAUAAUCAAAACCCGUGCAAAUCCACUAGAUGCCCAUGGUACCUAUGGCCCUGGACAUGGCAAGAACA